AUUGAACGCUGGCGGCAGGCCUAACACAUGCAAGUCGAGCGGAUGAAGGGAGCUUGCUCCUGGAUUCAGCGGCGGACGGGUGAGUAAUGCCUAGGAAUCUGCCUGGUAGUGGGGGAUAACAUCCGGAAACGGGCGCUAAUACCGCAUACGUCCUGCGGGAGAAAGUGGGGGAUCUUCGGACCUCACGCUAUCAGAUGAGCCUAGGUCGGAGUAGCUAGUUGGUGGGGUAAAGGCCUACCAAGGCGACGAUCCGUAACUGGUCUGAGAGGAUGAUCAGUCACACUGGAACUGAGACACGGUCCAGACUACUACGGGAGGCAGCAGUGGGGAAUAUUGGACAAUGGGCGAAAGCCUGAUCCAGCCAUGCCGCGUGUGUGAAGAAGGUCUUCGGAUUGUAAAGCACUUUAAGUUGGGAGGAAGGGCAGUAAGUUAAUACCUUGCUGUUUUGACGUUACCAACAGAAUAAGCACCGGCUAACUUCGUG
rnacentral:rRNA from 1 species